GGGUGUCAUAGGGUAUUCACAGGGUAACGUUAGGAGGGGGUAGUGAAGCUGGGUGCAACUAAAAAGGUGCCAUUGUCCGGUGAGGUCCGGUUGGGGAGUUACGGAACAAUCUCAUA